AGAGUGUUCCCCUUACCCACCUGCCGCCCAGCCUACACACACCACAGGAUGGAUCAGAGUUAGUCGUGUGGACGCCAUUUUGACCCAGACUAUAAUGUCUCAACAACGACUAUGCCUACAAAACUGACGAGCUCACUUCUUCACCUUCACUUGAUGCUGAAUCAGAAACAUGACAAGGGAGCAGCUACGAGCCUGUGCUCGCUGUGCACGAUCACAUCUGUAAGAGAAGUCCAGUGUGGACACGUGCCUUGUACCAGACCGUGGAUGUUUUGAGGGAGGACAGAGCAUUGCAGGUCGCAGUCAGGUCUUCUCCUCUCAGCAUGACUUCUGAGUCUUUAGGGACCACCACAGCCGGGUCCAAGUCUGAACACAGCAAACAAAGACGCAAUGAGACACAGGGAACCUGCUGUCACAAGCAUACAGACUGCAGGCAGGAGAAAACAACUUGAAGGGAAACAAUUCGCCUCCUAACACCUUAAAACCUGUUGCAUUUCCUUCUUUGUGUCUCUAAGGCUGUUGUAAACACGUGUUGUGUGUGUGUGUGUGUGAGCGAUCGUCGUUCCUCACAGUGCACCGUGAGCUGCAUCUCUCCUUUGACCUCGGCGUGGCCGUCGGUGUCCAGAGGGCGACACUGGUAGAUGCCGCUGUCUUUCCGUGACACCGGAGACAGGUUCAACACGUCGCCACUGUUCUCCAAGUCCACGUCCGGCUCCUGCGACACAAAACUCGCAUAUGAACCCAAAGCCACGCUGUGACCACGUGAGAGUAACGGCGGGAACGAGGGUACGUUCUCAGCUCAGUUUCAUUUGGUCGACUUUGCUAAUAAGAAGCUGGUGACAUCUGAACCGUAUCAUCAGAGGCUCAUGCUGGAUUUGGGUUUUACUAACCAAUCCUAAAUGUUUAACUGUGAUAUUCAAAACCACUUAACUCCAUCUGUCUCUGGAUCCAGUGUGAAACACCUCAGCAUCUACCUGAUGGAUUUCUAUCCAACUGGCUCCACUCAUACAUCAUCUGCAGAGGAGGAACUGUAGGAUUUGUACCAUGGACCAUGAAGUACCAUGGUCUCUAGGCCAUCCCCACUGUGCAAAACAACUUCCUCCAUUUCCUCCAAGGUCUGCAUGGUAAAGGUGGCUUGCUAUUGGUCAACAGCAUGCUGACAUAUCUCACCCCCAUUGAUGGAACUGACAACCAGGCCAUACAGAC